rnacentral:rRNA from 1 species
UACGAAGGGGGCUAGCGUUGCUCGGAAUUACUGGGCGUAAAGGGCGCGUAGGCGGACAGCUUAGUCAGAGGAGAAAGCCCAGGGCUCAACCUUGGAAUAGCCUUUGAUACUGGCUGUCUUGAGUUCGGGAGAGGUGAGUGGAAUGCCGAGUGUAGAGGUGAAAUUCGUAGAUAUUCGGCGGAACACCAGUGGCGAAGGCGACUCACUGGCCCGAUACUGACGCUGAGGCGCGAAAGCGUGGGGAGCAAACAGG